rnacentral:rRNA from 1 species
CACGUAGGGUGCGAGCGUUGUCCGGAAUUAUUGGGCGUAAAGAGCUCGUAGGCGGUGUGUCGCGUCGGCCGUGAAAACCUGCAGCUUAACUGUGGGCUUGCGGUCGAUACGGGCAUCACUGGAGUUCGGCAGGGGAGACUGGAAUUCCUGGUGUAGCGGUGAAAUGCGCAGAUAUCAGGAGGAACACCGGUGGCGAAGGCGGGUCUCUGGGCCGGUACUGA